GUCUACAGCCAUACUACCCUGAACAAGCCCAAUCUCAUCUGAUCUCAGAAGUUAAGCAGGCUCAGGCCUGAUUAGUACUUGGAUGGGAGACCACCUAGGAAGACUAGGUACUAUAGGCU
rnacentral:rRNA from 1 species